UACAGAGGUCUCAAGCGUUGUUCGGAUUCAUUGGGCGUAAAGGGUGCGUAGGCGGCGGGGUAAUCUGAUGUGAAAUCCUGGGGCUCAACCCCAGAACUGCAUUGGAUACUGCCUUGCUAGAGUACUGGAGAGGAAACUGGAAUUUACGGUGUAGCGGUGAAAUGCGUAGAUAUCGUAAGGAAGACCAGUGGCGAAGGCGGCAUCCUGGACCGGCAUUGACGCUGAUGAGCGAAAGCUAGGGGAGCGAACGGG
rnacentral:rRNA from 1 species